UGGAGGCAGCAGUGAGGAAUUUUGGACAAUGGGGGAAACCCUGAUCCAGCCAUUCCGCGUGAGUGAAGAAGGCCUUCGGGUUGUAAAGCUCUUUCGCAAGGGAAGAAACGUUACCGGUGAAUAUCCGGUGAUAAUGACGGUACCUUGAUAAGAAGCACCGGCUAACUACGUGCCAGCAGCCGCGGUAAUACGUAGGGUGCAAGCGUUAAUCGGAGUUACUGGGCGUAAAGCGCGCGCAGGCUGUUUUGUAAGUCAGAUGUGAAAUCCCCGAGCUCAACUUGGGAACUGCGUUUGAAACUACAAGACUAGAAUAUGUCAGAGGGGGGUAGAAUUCCACGUGUAGCAGUGAAAUGCGUAGAGAUGUGGAGGAAUACCAAUGGCGAAGGCAGCCCCCUGGGAUAAUAUUGACGCUCAUGCACGAAAGCGUGGGGAGCAAACAGGAUUAGAAACCCUUGUAGUCCC
rnacentral:rRNA from 1 species